CGCCAGGCCCUGCGCAAUGUGGAGGCUACAAACCCCGUCAGGUUCGGAAGAAAGCAGCGGUAGUAGUUUUCCCAUGUGCCGCAGUAAGCCUGGCUUUU
rnacentral:SRP_RNA from 1 species